rnacentral:rRNA from 1 species
CCUACGGGGGGCAGCAGUGAGGAAUAUUGGUCAAUGGGCGGAAUCCUGAACCAGCCAAGCAGCGUGCAGGAUGACGGCCCUAUGGGUUGUAAACCUCUUUUAUACGGGAAUAACACGCGUUACGUGUAGGGCUUUGCAUGUAUCGGAUGAAAAAGCACCGGCUAAUUCCGUGCCAGCAGCCGCGGUAAUACGGAAGGUCCGGGCGUUAUUCGGAUUUAUUGGGUUUAAAGGGGGCGUAGGCCGCAUGUCAAGCGUGCUGUGAAAUGUCCGGGCUCAACCCGGGCCGUGCCGCGAGAACUGGCGUGCUUGAGUACGCGAGAAGUAGGCGGAAUUCGUGGUGUAGCGGUGAAAUGCUUAGAUAUGGCGAAGAACUCCGAUUGCGAAGGCAGCUUACUGGAGCCGAACUGACGCUGAUGCUCGAAAGCGUGGGUAUCGAACAGGAUUAGAUACCCGUGUAGUC